AUUGAACGCUGGCGGCAGGCCUAACACAUGCAAGUCGAGCGAGCGGCGGACGGGUGAGAAAUGUAUGGGGACUGCCCGAUAGAGGGGGAUAACUACUGGAAACGGUGGCUAAUACCGAAUACUGUCGGAUAACCAAUAUGGGAGUAGAUAGUAGGUAAGGUAAUGGCUUACCUAGGCGAAGAUCCCUAGCUGGUCUGAGAGGAUGAUCAGCCAAACUGGGACUGAGACACGGCCCAGACUCCUACGGAGGCAGCAGUGGGGAAUAUUGCACAAUGGGCGCAAGCCUGAUGCAGCCAUGCCGCGUGUAUGAAGAAGGCCCUAGGGUUGUAAAGUACUUUCAGUCGUGAGGCGUUACCGACAGAAGAAGCACCGGCUAACUCCGUGCCAGCCGCCGCGGUAAUUC
rnacentral:rRNA from 1 species